rnacentral:lncRNA from 1 species
CCUAUGACUUCACUCAGACGUGGGUGGAUGGAGCUCCCAGACGUGGGAGACUUAUGUUUGGUGGUCAUUCAGAAAUGGAUGUACCAUAUUAUGUUAUGGUCCCACUUCACCUUCUGUAUGUUUGAUAUGAUAUCCAGAGCUUUGGUUAUGUGUUUCUGUACAUGCUUUGGAUAAGAAUGAUAUGAAUGCAACGUCAAAGACGACGUUUGAGCUUCUGUUUGGU